rnacentral:rRNA from 2 species
AUACAUGCAAGUCGAGCGGACAGAAGGGAGCUUGCUCCCGGAUGUUAGCGGCGGACGGGUGAGUAACACGUGGGUAACCUGCCUGUAAGACUGGGAUAACUCCGGGAAACCGGAGCUAAUACCGGAUAGUUCCUUGAACCGCAUGGUUCAAGGAUGAAAGACGGUUUCGGCUGUCACUUACAGAUGGACCCGCGGCGCAUUAGCUAGUUGGUGAGGUAACGGCUCACCAAGGCGACGAUGCGUAGCCGACCUGAGAGGGUGAUCGGCCACACUGGGACUGAGACACGGCCCAGACUCCUACGGGAGGCAGCAGUAGGGAAUCUUCCGCAAUGGACGAAAGUCUGACGGAGCAACGCCGCGUGAGUGAUGAAGGUUUUCGGAUCGUAAAGCUCUGUUGUUAGGGAAGAACAAGUGCAAGAGUAACUGCUUGCACCUUGACGGUACCUAACCAGAAAGCCACGGCUAACUACGUGCCAGCAGCCGCGGUAAUACGUAGGUGGCAAGCGUUGUCCGGAAUUAUUGGGCGUAAAGGGCUCGCAGGCGGUUUCUUAAGUCUGAUGUGAAAGCCCCCGGCUCAACCGGGGAGGGUCAUUGGAAACUGGGAAACUUGAGUGCAGAAGAGGAGAGUGGAAUUCCACGUGUAGCGGUGAAAUGCGUAGAGAUGUGGAGGAACACCAGUGGCGAAGGCGACUCUCUGGUCUGUAACUGACGCUGAGGAGCGAAAGCGU